rnacentral:rRNA from 1 species
AUUGAACGCUGGCGGCAUGCCUUACACAUGCAAGUCGAACGGCAGCGGGGGAGAAGCUUGCUUUUCCUGCCGGCGAGUGGCGAACGGGUGAGUAAUACAUCGGAACGUGCCCUGUAGUGGGGGAUAACUAGUCGAAAGAUUAGCUAAUACCGCAUACGACCUGAGGGUGAAAGUGGGGGACCGCAAGGCCUCAUGCUAUAGGAGCGGCCGAUGUCUGAUUAGCUAGUUGGUGGGGUAAAGGCCUACCAAGGCGACGAUCAGUAGCUGGUCUGAGAGGACGAUCAUCCAAGCUGGGACUGAGACACGGCCCAGACUCCUACGGGAGGCAGCAGUGGGGAAUUUUGGACAAUGGGCGAAAGCCUGAUCCAGCAAUGCCGCGUGUGUGAAGAAGGCCUUCGGGUUGUAAAGCACUUUUGUCCGGAAAGAAAUGGCUCUGGUUAAUACCUGGGGUCGAUGACGGUACCGGAAGAAUAAGGACCGGCUAACUACGUGCCAGCCGCCGCUGUAA